GCGGUGGUAGUAUAGUGGUUAGGGUAUAUAUAGGGCCUUGCCAAGGCUCUGACCGGGGUUCAAAUCCCCGCCACCGCA
rnacentral:tRNA from 1 species